rnacentral:rRNA from 1 species
GGAAUAUUGGUCAAUGGGGGCAACCCUGAACCAGCCAUGCCGCGUGCAGGAAGACUGCCCUAUGGGUUGUAAACUGCUUUUAUCCGGGAAUAAACCUCAUUACGUGUAAUGAGCUGAACGUACCGGAAGAAUAAGGAUCGGCUAACUCCGUGCCAGCAGCCGCGGUAAUACGGAGGAUCCAAGCGUUAUCCGGAUUUAUUGGGUUUAAAGGGUGCGUAGGCGGCCUGUUAAGUCAGAGGUGAAAGACGGUAGCUCAACUAUCGCAGUGCCUUUGAUACUGACGGGCUUGAAUAAACUAGAGGUAGGCGGAAUGAGACAAGUAGCGGUGAAAUGCAUAGAUAUGUCUCAGAACACCGAUUGCGAAGGCAGCUUACUAUGGUUUUAUUGACGCUGAGGCACGAAAGCGUGGGGAUCAAACAGGAUUAGAUACCCGUG